CGUAUACUUUGAUACACAAAUUGAGCAGGAAAUCGUGUUCGUUUUAUCUUCGAAAAGAAGUCAUUUAAAGUUCACAGUUGACGUGAAAAGAUAAAAAGAUAAAUUUACCAGAAAUUUACAAUUUUUCCUGACAAUAGUAAACAAAUUUUUCUUUUUUGGUACAGUACAAAAUUCAUCACAAAUAACACCAAACUAUCAUUUUUAUCAAACUUUCCUUUUUGGGGCGGGGUCCCUCCGACGAUAUAUAAUAAUAAAAUAAUAACAUUUAAUACCAGCUUUAUGAUAUUUUUCGUCAACUUAAUUGGUAAUUAAACUAUUGGUUGAAGCAAAACCCCUGUGUCUAAAGCUAAUAAUAGCUCCUGAACGAGACGCCGCGCAAGCUAUGGUGCGGCUUUUUUGUAUGGGACAUACUGGCCACCGCCUCCGGCGGCUUUUGAAAUUCGGAACGUGUUCUGCGGUGGGAGGAGCCGCCCUCAAUUGACUGCAGGAGGUGGUAGCUGUGGUUGGAGCUAUCGGAGAGGCAGCGGUAUGCGUGUUGCGAACUCUGUUUCUUGAUGGCGUGAAGGAGAAAUGGGAUUAAGCCUUCCAUUUGUGGACUGUAUUGAUGAUCUUUUGUAAUGAAUUAUGAAUGUGAAGUAAAAAAAAUUCGAUUAUUUAUAGCUGCAAUCUUUGAGGUGAAGUGGACUAAACGCGC
rnacentral:lncRNA from 1 species